GUCACUUUUUCAGUUUCCGACCGGAAGGCUGCAAGGCUGUUUUCCUUACGUUUUACGCAGAUCGAUAGAACGCGGCAACGGGACUGUGACCGGGCGCUAAUCGAUCGCCAUGCCCCGUGCAGCGCUCGGCGCUGCAGAGAAGCGGGUUCGAGGUGGGACUUUCUCAGAAAUGCGCACCCUUGCUGAAAUGAGAGGAGAGAGGCAGCUGAAAACGGGGUGCGCGUGACACGCUGCUUCUGAGGGCGGGACGACUCGUGCAAAAUGCCGACUGGAAGCCGCAGAGCGGGGCUGCGUGCGCUUGACGCGGACGUAGACGCGCACGCUGACACAUACCGCCGCGGACACGCCGCGGCAAUGUUCCGUGACCGUGUUCCUCAGAUAUUUUCCACUGACGGAGGGGGGAAAAAAGAUCGGGGGGCACGUGCGCGGAGAAUGAGCGCUCCUGCUACCGAUGGCCCGGUCCACCCCUGUUGACAAGCGGUGAAUGAGAUCCACCCCUCCGGCAGGCUCAGCUGUGUCUAUUCACAGAUGUUAGGACGUCCUCACACUGAUGCUCAUGGUGUGAGAGGCAGGGACCCGGACCGGGCAUCUGGGCAAAAUAAAUCAGUCCUUGCUACUCGAAGUCAGCUCUGUCACCAUGACUCCCUCUGCAGGACAUCGUCCCGUAGCAGACAUGUUCCACAGCCAUGCAACUGCUGAAGCUAUUUAUCACUGUUGCGAGACCCCAAGACCCUCUGCUUUCCUCCUACGUGCAUCCAGAGCCAUUACAUUAUGAGCCAUGUCUAAUUUCCUGGUCUGUGCGAUGCCUCUGUACGGUACAACCUGGCGAGACCUUCCACAAGCUCUUUGCCCUUUUACUGCAGGACUUGAUUUCAAAGUGUUUCUGCGGCUCCGAUACCUUCCGGCUGCUAAAGACAUCAACUCCAGCGUUCGGCCCGAUAGCAGACUGUGUUGGAGGCACCUCUGGCGGUUUGUGGAGGACAGCUGGAUACACCAUUGUCGCUGUGCUGUAUAUCCAAACAUUUACCACUCCCCACCCCCACUCUUACUCUCCCUGUGUUGACAGAACAAACUGAGCUAAAAGGCUUCUGUCUAUGUCAAAAUAACAGCGGGGCCCAGCCGAACGUUUCAGAAGCACUCGGGAAUCGUACAGUUCUUUUGCACGAGGACAAACGCUCGGUUGACGUGAGGAGCACAUCGAGGACACGCUGACCGCAACCCAUUGCAGCCAUCAGGGGCCGCAGGGUCUGCAGGUCAUCCCACUGUCCUAGUGCUUAACUGACCAUUCAGCGCCACUGCUUGGGGAUAAAAUGACAUCAACUUUUUUGAAGGUGAAAAUUUCCCAGUUGGCGAAGGAAUCAUACCCGUGAGACCGGUGGUUUUGCUUCUUAGCCCGCAGAGAAAUUUCGUCAAAUGGCCGACAGCCGAGAGCCAUCGAGAAGCUCACGGCAACGCGGCUCGCGGCGGGUCUGACCGGACAGCCCGGACCCGUAGCAAGACCAAGGGCUGCACCGACCCGGCAUUGACUCACGCACGUCCAGGAAAGGGCACAAAUCAAAAGUGGUCUCAUUCCGUCCGCUUCUUUCUACAAGAUCUUGCAAAGCAGCAUACCGCCACAGUCAGCAAUAGUGCCAUAACUUGUGCUCGUGUCUGGCCUCUCACGAAAGUUUACUUUUAUUUUCCAGACAUGCCACGGCUCGCGGCUUGCCGAGGACGUUCUCAGUGCUGGCAAAAACAAUAUAUCUAGAAGAAGAUAAACUGUUUACUCAACAUGGACUUCGUCAGAUAAAGAUCCGGUGCGCACAAUGUGCCGUAAACAGAAUAAAACCGACCAGCGUGUCGAGCCA
ensembl:lncRNA